GACGAACGCUGGCGGCGUGCCUAACACAUGCAAGUCGAGCGGAGAUAAGCGGAUGGUAACUGAAGUUUGUCUUAGCGGCGGACGGGUGAGUAACACGUGGGCAACCUGCCUUGGAGUGGGGGAUAACACCGGGAAAUCGGUGCUAAUACCGCAUAACAUACACAUACUGCAUGGUGAGUGUAUCAAAGGAGCAAUCCGCUUUAAGAUGGGCCCGCGGCUGAUUAGCUAGUUGGUAAGGUAACGGCUUACCAAGGCGACGAUCAGUAGCCGACCUGAGAGGGUGACCGGCCACACUGGAACUGAGACACGGUCCAGACUCCUACGGGAGGCAGCAGUGGGGAAUAUUGCGCAAUGGGGGAAACCCUGACGCAGCAACGCCGCGUGGAGGAAGAAGGUCUUCGGAUUGUAAACUCCUGUCUUCUGGGACGAAGUAUGACGGUACCAGAGGAGGAAGCCACGGGCUAACUACGUGCCAGCAGCCGCGGUAAAACGUCUA
rnacentral:rRNA from 1 species